UAACAAAAAGGAACAAUAAACUUGUCUUUCAGGUAUGUUAAUGCCAAAGGAUAUUUUGAAGAUGUGGCAAAUGCAAUGGAAGAGGCAAAUGAAGAGAUUUUUAUCACAGACUGGUGGCUGAGUCCAGAAAUCUUCCUGAAACGCCCAGUGGUUGAGGGAAAUCGUUGGAGGUUGGACUGCAUUCUUAAACGAAAAGCACAACAAGGAGUGAGGAUCUUCAUAAUGCUCUACAAAGAGGUGGAACUCGCUCUUGGCAUCAAUAGUGAAUACACCAAGAGGACUUUGAUGCGUCUACAUCCCAACAUAAAGGUGAUGAGACACCCGGAUCAUGUGUCAUCCACCGUCUAUUUGUGGGCUCACCAUGAGAAGCUUGUCAUCAUUGACCAAUCGGUGGCCUUUGUGGGAGGGAUUGACCUGGCCUAUGGAAGGUGGGACGACAAUGAGCACAGACUCACAGACGUGGGCAGUGUGAAGCGGGUCACUUCAGGACC
rnacentral:sRNA from 1 species